rnacentral:rRNA from 1 species
GUGAGUAACACGUGGGUAACCUACCUAUAAGACUGGAAUAACUUCGGGAAACCGGAGCUAAUGCCGGAUAACAUUUGGAACCGCAUGGUUCUAAAGUAAAAGAUGGUUUUGCUAUCACUUAUAGAUGGACCCGCGCCGUAUUAGCUAGUUGGUAAGGUAACGGCUUACCAAGGCAACGAUACGUAGCCGACCUGAGAGGGUGAUCGGCCACACUGGAACUGAGACACGGUCCAGACUCCUACGGGAGGCAGCAGUAGGGAAUCUUCCGCAAUGGACGAAAGUCUGACGGAGCAACGCCGCGUGAGUGAUGAAGGUUUUCGGAUCGUAAAACUCUGUUAUUAGGGAAGAACAAAUGCGUAAGUAACUGUGCGCAUCCUUGACGGUACCUAAUCAGAAAGCCACGGCUAAC